rnacentral:rRNA from 1 species
CCUAGGGGGGCAGCAGUGGGGAAUAUUGGACAAUGGGGGCAACCCUGAUCCAGCCAUGCCGCGUGUGUGAAGAAGGCCCUCGGGUUGUAAAGCACUUUCAGUGAGGAAGAACGCCUGGUGGUUAAUACCCAUCAGGAAAGACAUCACUCACAGAAGAAGCACCGGCUAACUCCGUGCCAGCAGCCGCGGUAAUACGGAGGGUGCGAGCGUUAAUCGGAAUUACUGGGCGUAAAGCGCGCGUAGGUGGCUUGAUAAGCCGGUUGUGAAAGCCCCGGGCUCAACCUGGGAACGGCAUCCGGAACUGUCAAGCUAGAGUGCAGGAGAGGAAGGUAGAAUUCCCGGUGUAGCGGUGAAAUGCGUAGAGAUCGGGAGGAAUACCAGUGGCGAAGGCGGCCUUCUGGACUGACACUGACACUGAGGUGCGAAAGCGUGGGUAGCAAACAGGAUUAGAUACCCUUGUAGUC